GACGAACGCUGGCGGCGUGCUUAACACAUGCAAGUCGAACGGAAAGGCCCUGCUUUUGUGGGGUGCUCGAGUGGCGAACGGGUGAGUAACACGUGAGUAACCUGCCCUUGACUUUGGGAUAACCUCAGGAAACUGGGGCUAAUACCGGAUAGGAGCUCCUGCUGCAUGGUGGGGGUUGGAAAGUUUCGGCGGUUGGGGAUGGACUCGCGGCUUAUCAGCUUGUUGGUGGGGUAGUGGCUUACCAAGGCUUUGACGGGUAGCCGGCCUGAGAGGGUGACCGGCCACAUUGGGACUGAGGUACGGCCCAGUCUCCUACGGGAGGCAGCAGUGGGGAAUAUUGCACAAUGGGCGGAAGCCUGAUGCAGCAACGCCGCGUGCGGGAUGACGGCCUUCGGGUUGUAAACCGCUUUCGCCUGUGACGAAGCGUGAGUGACGGUAAUGGGUAAAGAAGCACCGGCUAACUACGUG
rnacentral:rRNA from 1 species